UAAGCAGUAGGCCAAUGAAAGCUGUACAAAAACAAUAUGAAAGAAUGUGGAAAUCUUGAAAAGUAGGUUCCAAAGACAUUGCAUCAAUUGUGUAUAUCUUUCAAAUUCUAAGAUUUCUACAGUGAUAUGAAAUAUAUAUAUAUAAUCUGGGAUUCAUGAAAUAAAAUCCACUGUACCAAUAUAGAUAUAAAACCUAAAGAGAACUCUUUAAAUUAAUUUAAAAAUUAAAGUAAAAAAAAAAAAAAAGGACACUGGACACAGAUUCAUUUAGUAACAAGAUUCAGACUUUUUACCAGGUUUACAAUUCAUAAAUUUUAAUAUUCGUAUAAUCCAGCUCAGAACAAAGGCAAUUUUCAUCUUUAUUGAAUAGGAUCCAUAAAGAGCAGACAGAACCAUUCAUAAGACACAUCAGUGAUAUCAGUGAAAUGACCUAUAAGAUUAAUUUAUUCUCCAGUUGUCAAGCAAAAUGAAGCAUUCAUGGUAAUAGAUCUCUGUGUAGUUAAACAGCAGGAAAGAACCAUAGACAUUAUUUGUUUUGGAGGCUGUCUGUACAUGCCUAAUUCUAUUUUCUAGACUAUAAAGAUGAUGAGAUAAUGAACACAAUGAAAAGUAGAAUUCAUUUGAUGCUAUAAACAUAUGUUUAUUGAUGUAGAAUUAAUAAGAACAUGUAUUCCUUAGAGAUUCUGCAGACUAAUAUUCUGUAUGUCCAAGGUUUUCCAGGGACUUUGGAUUCAUUCAGAAUUCAUUUACAACACAUGACGUAUUUGACUAUGAAGCCAGCUUAAGAACUUCCCUGUGUCUUUCACCCACUGUUGCCCAUUCUUUCUGCACAUACAAUCCACCCUCUCCUCUGUUUUGUCAGUGCAAGUUUCUGAGGGACUACACUCUAGGAAAAUAUCCAGUAAUCACAAAAGUUGCAGUUUCUGCAGUAAGAACAUAUGCCAGCAAAGACAGCCUACCCUACGAUCCCUGCCAGAACAUCUGAGAAGGGAGUUCUUGCUUUCCCUCCCUAACAGUUACAUGUAACAUGUCUGCAAUUGAGCUGAGGAAGGACUGAACACAUGUUCUGGGGCCAGACUUGAUCCUGCAUUGGAAAUGGAACCAGUCCUCCAGGAGCUCACUCUCUCCUACUACAAGAGUCAGAAGAACCAGCAGUGCAGAUAAUGAAGAUUAAAACAGACAGGAAAAGAACAGGUUUUCGGUGGUGGUGGUGGAGACUUUUUUUUCCCCCAUCUAAUCUCAGAGAUCAUAUUUUAUUCUGCUCAUCUGGAAACACUUGAUCAAGGCAGAUACAAUUUCAGAACUUGAAUUUCAGGUGUGAAUGACUGGUGUUACUUUUUGUAGAUGUUACAAAGACAAAUUGGUUUUGAGAUGAUGUCUGGCCCCAAACAUGCAUUUUGUUACAUGUAAGAGAUUCUUCAUGACAAUUCAUUGAUAUUCUUCUAGCCCUGGCCAUUAAACAAAUUACUCAGCCUGACAGGCAAUUACAUAGAUACAUACUUCUCUCUAGAUGAAUGCUUUCAAAUUUGUAAGUUUUGACAGAUGCUGUAAGAAUAAGCUAAAUAAAUUAAACAUGUAUGUUAAUAUUGCCA
rnacentral:lncRNA from 1 species